rnacentral:rRNA from 1 species
CCUACGGGCGGCUGCAGUGAGGAAUUAUGCGCAAUGGGGGCAACCCUGACGCUGCGACGCCGCGUGGGUGAUGAAGGUCUUCGGAUCGUAAAACCCUGUCGAGAGGGGCGAAAGAGCGAGGUAUUAACACUAUCUCGCUUUGACGGUACCUCUGGAGGAAGCCCCGGCUAACUCCGUGCCAGCAGCCGCGGUAAUACGGAGGGGGCAAGCGUUGUUCGGAAUUACUGGGCGUAAAGCGCGCGUAGGCGGUUGGGUAAGUCAGAUGUGAAAGCCCCCAGCUCAACUGGGGAACUGCGUCUGAUACUGCUCGGCUUGAGUCCGAUAGGGGAUGGCAGAAUUCCCGGUGUAGCGGUGGAAUGCGUAGAUAUCGGGAGGAAUACCGAUGGCGAAGGCGGCCAUCUGGGUCGGUACUGACGCUGAGGCGCGAAAGCUAGGGGAGCAAACAGGAUUAGAUACCCCUGUAGUC